rnacentral:lncRNA from 1 species
GAGAAAAACCAAAGUCCCUAAAGAUUUAUUCUGAUCACAGAAUCAUUACCACGACAAAUUUUAGAUAAUUAGCUCCUUUACACUAAGGAAAACAUAAAAACAAUUAGGUAUCAAAGACACCCCUUUAAACAAACGUACUUUUACAUAUAAGAAUUAGAAAAAAAAAUGAAAUGAAUGAUAUCACAAUCUAAAACGAUUUCGUUAAAGAAUAUGUCAUAAC